AGACGUGUAAAGUGAAACUGUCGGAAACCAGAGUGGAAUUUUGUUCCAGCCUAUUUACUUCCAAAUGACUUCCCAGCUGUGCAAAUUCCACACUGACACCAGUAUGAGAUUCCCAGUCACAAUAAACCAUCACAAAGCAUGAAAGAAUCGCCUUGUCCUCUUAGGCAGAAUGUCACCAACGGUAACAAUACAUAAUGUAACCCUGUCAGAUUUCCACCCACAAACUUCACUUUAAAUUGUGGAAGGAAGCAUGCACGCUCCCAGACCUCCUGCUAUCGCACACC